UACGGAGGACCCAAGCGUUAUUCGGAUUUAUUGGGUUUAAAGGGUGUGUAGGCGGGAUAGUAAGUCAGAGGUGAAAUCCCACAGCUUAACUGUGGAACUGCCUUUGAUACUGCUAACCUUGAGUACAGAUGAUGUGGGCGGAAUAUGACAUGUAGCGGUGAAAUGCUUAGAUAUGUCAUAGAACACCGAUUGCGAAGGCAGCUCACAAAACUGUAACUGACGCUGAGGCACGAAAGCAUGGGGAUCGAACAGG
rnacentral:rRNA from 1 species